UUAGUUUUUUUUUUUUUUUUGAAAGAACAUUAUAGAGAGGUAAUGUAAUAUAGGUGUUUCAAGGCAAUGCCAAAAACAACAACAAAAAUUCAAAUAGCAUUCAAAGAUCUUAAUCAAACCCAACAAACAAAACUAAAUCUAACAAUUUUUCGAAUACGUACGUUUCCGAAAACAUAUAAAAACAAGGAAAAGGAGUAUAUACCGUGUUCUGUCCCAAAGGAG
rnacentral:misc_RNA from 1 species